rnacentral:rRNA from 1 species
AUGAGUCUACCGCUUACAAGAAAAGAUCUCAUGAUAGUCAAUAUGGGCCCUCAACACCCAUCAAUGCAUGGUGUUCUUCGACUGAUCGUUACUCUCGAUGGUGAGGAUGUUAUUGAUUGUGAACCCAUAUUAGGCUAUUUAGACAGAGGAAUGGAAAACAUCGCGGAAAACCGAACUAUUAUACAAUACUUACCUUAUGUAACAAGGUGGGAUUAUUUAGCUACUAUGUUUACAGAAGCAAUAACAGUAAAUGCACCAGAAUUCUUGGAGAAUAUUCAAAUACCACAAAGAGCCAGCUAUAUUAGGGUAAUUAUGUUAGAAUUAAGCCGGAUAGCUUCUCACUUGCUAUGGCUUGGACCUUUUAUGGCGGAUCUCGGCGCACAGACUCCUUUUUUCUAUAUUUUUAGAGAGAGAGAAUUAAUAUAUGAUCUAUUUGAAGCUGCUACAGGUUUUAUUAGCGGAGAAGAAGCAUUAAAUUGGGGCUUAUCGGGACCAAUGUUACGAGCUUCUGGAAUACAAUGGGAUCUUCGUAAAGUAGAUCCUUAUGAGUCUUACAACCAAUUUGAUUGGAAAGUCCAAUGGCAAAAAGAAGGGGAUUCGUUAGCUCGCUAUUUAGUACGAAUUGGUGAAAUGAGGGAAUCCAUCAAAAUAAUUCAACAAGCUGUAGAAAAAAAUUCCUAG